AAUAAAUGUAAAUAUAAAAUAUUAAAUUAGUAUUAGAUAUAUUCUUGAAAAUUAAAAAAUUUGGCGGUAUUUUAGUCUUUUUAGAGGAACCUGUUCUAUAAUUGAUAAUCCACGAUUUAUACUACUUAUUUUAAAAAUUUAUAUAUCAUCGUAGUUAAAUAUUUUAAAAGAAUUAAUAUUUAAAAUUUAUAAUUAUAAAAUAAAUCAGAUCAAGGUAUAGUUUAUGAAUAAGAAGAAAUGGGUUACAAUAAAUUUAUUUAAAUGGAUUAAUAAUUUAAAUAUUAUUAUGAAAGUGGAUUUAAAAGUAAUAAAAUUUAAUUUAAUUUUAUGAUUAUAGCUCUAACAUAUGU
rnacentral:rRNA from 1 species